CCUACGGGAGGCAGCAGUGAGGAAUAUUGGUCAAUGGCCGAAGGGCUGAACCAGCCAAGUCGCGUGAGGGAAGACGGCCCUACGGGUUGUAAACCUCUUUUGCCGGGGAGCAAAGGCGGUCACUGGUGACCGAAUGAGAGUACCCGGAGAAAAAGCAUCGGCUAACUCCGUGCCAGCAGCCGCGGUAAU
rnacentral:rRNA from 1 species